CUGGAGGGCGGUGAGCUGGUGGACGUGACGGCGGGAUAGCGCCCCGCUGGAUCAGUCAUUCCAUUGCAGGAGCGGCGUUCCAUACGCCCUCCUCCAGACC
rnacentral:tRNA from 1 species